GAUGAAGAACGCAGCGAAAUGCGAUAAGUAAUGUGAAUUGCAGAAUUCAGUGAAUCAUCGAAUCUUUGAACGCACAUUGCGCCCGCCAGUAUUCUGGCGGGCAUGCCUGUUCGAGCGUCAUUUUCGCCAUCAAGCUCUGCUUGUGUUGGGGUCCUGCGGCUGCCCGCAGGCCCUGAAACCCAGUGGCGGGCUCGCUAGUCACACCGAGCGCAGUAGCACAUCUCGCUCAGGGCGUGCGGCGGGUUCUUGCCGUAAAACAACCCCCCCUUUUCACCAAGGUUGACCUCGGAUCAGGUAGGAAUACCCGCUGAACUUAAGCAUAUCAAUAAGCGGAGGA
rnacentral:misc_RNA from 1 species